AUGAGAGUUCCCCCAAGCGAUGGCGACCACUACGCCGCCGGCGGUGGCGAUGGCGACUCCGCCCGCCGUCUUCGCAGCUCGUCGGGCCCCUCUCCAGCUUUCUACGGGGGCAGCCGGCUCCCUUCCGUGCCGAAAGCCUUGCUCCAACAGUGGCCGCAUCCGCAUCGAUGGAUCCUCCCCUGCAUCCGGCGGCUCGGCGGCGCAACGGCGGGUCUCGGGUCAGAUCCCUUUCUUGCCACCCCGGACCAAAAAAGGCACCGAGGAGAAAGGAAUAAACAGGGGCCAUGGCCGUGGGUGGCUUUGCCGGCGACUCAAGCAAGGCACCGUCUUUCUUACACGACUUCUUCCGGUGCCCCCGCCGGCGAGCCCAAAGCUAAGCAUCAGCCUGGCUUUGCAAGCCAGCAAAGCAUCCAGAUCCAUCACCCACCAACAAGACAGAGCACCACAUUUCAGCCUAAUUGCUACCGUCCCCUUCAACAUCUCCUAGCUAGCCUGGAAGCCAAACACACACACUCCGUUGAUUACCAAUUUCUUCACCGGUCUGUGGACAAAGAGAAAUCAACCAUGGCCAUGGUGCUGGACGUAUUUGCGUCCUACAUCGCCGACACGAUCAAGCAGAUGGCGGCGGACGAGGUGGGGAUGCUGCUCGGCGUCACCGGUGAGAUCGACAACCUGAAGGACAAGCUGGAGAGCCUGAGGGACUACCUCGCCGAUGCCGAGAGGAAGCACAUCACUGACCGGAGGGUGCAGGGGUGGGUCACGAAGCUCAAGGGUGUCAUGUACGAGGCGACCAAAAUCCUCGACCUCUGCGAGCUCAAGGCCAUGGGUCGGCGGGACGCAGCACCCUCACCCUGCUGCAACCCGCUGCUCUUCUGCUUGCGGCAUCCCAUGUCCGCUCACCACAUUGGUAGCUACAUCAGGAAGCUCAACAAGAGGCUGGACGAUAUCUGCAAGCUCGGUGCUGCCUUCAGCUUCAUCAAGCUGGAGACCUACCAGGACUACAGGCCCGGACGGCCUUCUGCGGCUGACCGGAAGACGGAUCCGGUGUUGGAGCGCUCGGCCGUGGUAGGGGAGAAGAUUGAAGAGGAUACGGGAGCGUUGGUGAAGGAGCUGACAAAGGAUAAUGAUGGCAUCGUGGUGCUCGCCAUCGUGGGUGUUGGUGGGAUCGGGAAGACCACCCUUGCCAAGAAGGUCUUCAAUGAUAUGGAAAUUCAACACAAAUUUGAAAAGAAGAUGUGGCUGAGCAUCACACAAGACUUCAGCGAGGUUGAGCUGCUAAGGUUGGCCAUCACCACCGCCGAUGGAAAACUCCCUGCAACUGAAGACAAAUCUAUGCUUGUGCCGGCCCUUCUCAACGCUGUCAGAAAUCAGAAGUUUCUUCUGGUUUUGGAUGACAUGUGGAGUGAUAGAGCAUGGACCUCAUUACUCAAUCGUCCCUUCAGCUACGGUGCCCCUGGUAGCCGGAUUAUUAUCACCACGAGAAAUGAUACGGUUGCCCGAGGCACAAGAACCAGAGAGCCCUACCACCGCAUCGACAAAUUAGGGCCCCGGCAACAGCGCCAGAAAAGAGCUUAG
rnacentral:rRNA from 1 species